UUGUGUCAUUCUUCAAAGUGGUUGUGAAAUGUUUGCCUUUUUAUGCCUAUUCAUAUCACAGCCAGCUUUGAGGAGCGACGCGA